AUAUAUAGUACAAUCAAUGUGAAUCGGCUGAUACUGACGCGGAGAAAAGCGGUUUUGGCGGUAUGUAUUGUCGCUUUUCUCAGCGUCACAAUCCGUUGGAAUUCCAUUAAUCAUGUAAAAAGGUCAAAGAGUUACGCUAGGUCAAAGAGAGCCUAUUAUUUAGGUGUCGCUAGUGACGUCUCCGGUGUUUGUUGACAUUCUCUUGACUACCUAACUAUUCGACCAUUUACGCAAUUAAUUUAAUUACAUCCGAUUCUGAGGCGCAGAAAAGUACAUUUGCGGUGACAUGCAAAACUUUAAAGUAGUGAAGUGUUUAUGCAAGCAGCAUAAAUCCUCUGAUUUUAUCAGAAUCUGUUGAAAAUAUUUUAGUUGCAUAAAUGGUCAAGGAGUUCAUGUAUUUUGAAGAGUUCGUGUUAUUUAGACAUUUCUGGUGUUAAAGGGUUAAUAAAAAAUCUUUUAGGAAGUAAAAGCCAACUUCAGAUGUGACAUACGACAGCAUAUCAGGGUAGAGGUUUAUUUGAAAUAAGCCUGGUCUGUGGUGUUUUUAAUUCCUAGUUGACUCUGCGUUUUGAUGAAUUGUUUUAGAGCAGGAAAGUGCGAGACUAGGACUGAUAAACGGCGGGCCAGAGUGGAAGCUUUCCAUUCAGAAGCAUGCACCACUUGAAACCAGAGUUUAUUUAGCACUAACUGCAUCUGCUGGACUGACCGUGUGCCUCAGACUUUGUACUUUUCUGCCCCUGAUGUACUUUGGAAAAAACAGAUCCUUUUAAUUUUUUUUAAACUAAAUUCAGUUUUAAUUCCCAAAGCUCAAUAUGUUUCAGUUUUAAUGUAGAUUUCCAAGUUACAGUGAUAAAUGUUUGAGUAGCCUUUUCUAAAGUUAAGCAAAAAAAAGAUACAAAUUAAGGAAAUGCAGCAUUAAGGCUGGUUUUAUUUCUAGGAGAAGCUGCAGGUGAAUCUUUUGCAUGAUUUGACCUUUCUAAUAAAUUUGCAUCUGCAAUAAAGUGGUUUCUUGAAUCAGCACAGAACAAAAGGUUUCUGCUGUUGUCACCAUUGUAAAAGUACUUGUGGCUGCAGCAGCAGCAGGAGGUCCCAUUUGAGCUCUCUGCAUUUGAGCUUCUCAGUCCACGAAGGUCGUUGCUGUUUCUCCAGCUGCGACUCAGCCUAACGUGCCUGCUCUUGACCAAUCAAACCUUUUGUCAGAUUGUGUUUGUGUCCGAAUUCCCUCACAACUCCAACUAGUGUCCAUUGAUCCUCCCUAGAUUGGUAAAUAUAGACCACAAUGCAUUGCAUUUGAACAUUUUUUUAAAUAAAUCAUCCAAGUUUUCGCCAGCAAAACCCAAUGGAUUCAUAAAUAGUUGUCGUAAAAUGAUCGUACUUAUUUGGUUUUUACUUCGGCAAAUGGGUGAUAUCAUUUUUGCCAUUUAAAACAAAAAAAAAGGAGUGAAUGAGGUG
rnacentral:lncRNA from 1 species